GAUGAACGCUAGCUACAGGCUUAACACAUGCAAGUCGAGGGGAAACGGCAUUAAGUGCUUGCACUUUUUGGACGUCGACCGGCGCACGGGUGAGUAACGCGUAUCCAACCUUCCCAUGACUAAGGGAUAACCUGCCGAAAGGCAGACUAAUACCUUAUGGUCUUCACUGACGGCAUCAGAUGUGAAGUAAAGAUUUAUCGGUUAUGGAUGGGGAUGCGUCUGAUUAGCUUGUUGGCGGGGUAACAGCCCACCAAGGCAACGAUCAGUAGGGGUUCUGAGAGGAAGGUCCCCCACAUUGGAACUGAGACACGGUCCAAACUCCUACGGGAGGCAGCAGUGAGGAAUAUUGGUCAAUGGGCGAGAGCCUGAACCAGCCAAGUAGCGUGCAGGAUGACGGCCCUAUGGGUUGUAAACUGCUUUUGUAUGGGGAUAAAGUCAAUCACGUGUGAUUGUUUGCAGGUACCAUACGAAUAAGGACCGGCUAAUUCCGUG
rnacentral:rRNA from 1 species